rnacentral:rRNA from 1 species
GAUGAACGCUGGCGGCGUGCCUAAUACAUGCAAGUCGAGCGAACGGACGAGAAGCUUGCUUUUCUGAUGUUAGCGGCGGACGGGUGAGUAACACGUGGAUAACCUACCUAUAAGACUGGGAUAACUUCGGGAAACCGGAGCUAAUACCGGAUAAUAUUUUGAACCGCAUGGUUCAAAAGUGAAAGACGGUCUUGCUGUCACUUAUAGAUGGAUCCGCGCUGCAUUAGCUAGUUGGUAAGGUAACGGCUUACCAAGGCAACGAUGGGUAGCCGGCCUGAGAGGGUGACCGGCCACAAUGGGACUGAGAUACGGCCCAGACUCCUACGGGAGGCAGCAGUGGGGAAUAUUGCACAAUGGGCGGAAGCCUGAUGCAGCAACGCCGCGUGCGGGAUAACGGCCUUCGGGUUAUAAACCGCUUUCGCCUGUGACGAAGCGUGAGUGACGGUAGUGGGUAAAGAAGCACCGGCUAACUACGUG